rnacentral:lncRNA from 1 species
CUGUCCUUGGUGACGUCACGCACGGAGGCGGGACAAACUCCGCCUGAGGGGGCGCGGCCCGUUGGAGCCCCAGGCCCCGCCCCGAGAGAGGUCGCGGCAGGGAAGAGCGGAAGUCCUCCCGCCUCCGCCCGCCCCCACGCUCCCUUCAGUCCCUCCCCUCAACUCCGUGCGCAAGGUCGUGUCCCGGAAGUGAAGGGGCCAUGUUGGUGGGUGACCCCGGGAGAGAUACCGGGCGAGAGGCGAAUCCCGAGGAGUGGUAGCGCGCGCAGUCCCGCGGCUUGACGCCCAGCCCCUGCCUGUCCCCCAUGGCCCCAUGGAGCCGAGAGGCGGUGCUCAGUCUCUACCGGGCCCUGCUGCGCCAGGGUCGAGAGCUUCGCUACACUGACCGAGACUUCUACCUUGCCUCCCAUCCGCCGUGAGUUCCGGAAAAAUCAGAAGCUAGAGGAUCCUGAGGCCCGGGGAGAGGCAGCUGGAAAAGGGCCUGGUCUUCUCCACAGCAAAUUGGGGGGAAUUAUUUAGGAUCCCCUCCUUUCCCCUCUCAUCCUAAUUCCAAGGGAAAGAGAACAAAGGUGUCUUCCGUAGACACUCCUGCUCUUUCCCAUCCCUACCUCACAGAUGCAGUAAGAAGCCUCAGGUAGGUAGACAAUCCUAUAGGUUUCUUUUUUUUUUUUUUGGAUGUAGGGGACCUGGAGAGAGGAACCUUUCUUUUCAGUGACCAUAGUCACUAGGAUUCAAUGGAGGAAAUACAGACGUUAACAGAAGUAGGUUUCCUUAUUGAGGAGAAAUCGGCCCUGAGUUUCAAGCCCCACCAGAACAAUUACUAUCACCAUCUUAUUUCAUGAAACAUUUUACAUAUGAAAGUGUUAGAAAAGAUACUGGUUAAAACUAUUAGAGCUCAGUUCUAGGCUGGCUCAUCCUCCAGUGGAUUCACUUACCUUGUGGGUCAGAUCGUACUCUCCAGACACAACUAGAUUCUGUUACAGCACAGUCUAUAAGGCAAGCAUAGUGUGUAGACUGCAAAGGACCGUGUCUGCGUUCAUAUCCCAGCACUGCUGCUAAUAGCUGUGGGAUUUAGGGCAAAUCACUAGACUUUUCCAGGCCUCCAUUUCCUCAUUUGUAAAGUGGAGCGAAUGGUACCUUUUUUGUCCAGGUUAUUUUGAAAAUUAAAUGAGACCGUGCACACACAGCAUUUGGAAUGGUGCUUAGUAGGUGGUAUGUUAGCUCUGUUUACUCCUGAUAGCAGUGUAUCAAGAAGUCCCGCUCUAACCUAAUGAGUAUAUCUAUUUCAGCAACUUUUCCAGAGGGCCUUCUAUGGCUCUGGCAUUCUGGC